rnacentral:rRNA from 1 species
AGAACGGGCAUUGGUCUAAUAGGCCUUUGUUUUGACGGUACCUUCAGAGGAAGCACCGGCUAACUCCGUGCC